UACGUAGGGUGCAAGCGUUAAUCGGAAUUACUGGGCGUAAAGCGUGCGCAGGCGGCUUUGCAAGACAGAUGUGAAAUCCCCGGGCUCAACCUGGGAACUGCAUUUGUGACUGCAUGGCUAGAGUACGGUAGAGGGGGAUGGAAUUCCGCGUGUAGCAGUGAAAUGCGUAGAUAUGCGGAGGAACACCGAUGGCGAAGGCAAUCCCCUGGACCUGGUACUGACGCUCAUGCACGAAAGCGUGGGGAGCAAACAGG
rnacentral:rRNA from 1 species